rnacentral:rRNA from 1 species
GUUUGAUGUUCUAACGUGGACCCGUGAUCCGGGUUGCGGACAGUGUCUGGUGGGUAGUUUGACUGGGGCGGUCUCCUCCUAAAGAGUAACGGAGGAGCACGAAGGUUGGCUAAUCCUGGUCGGACAUCAGGAGGUUAGUGCAAUGGCAUAAGCCAGCUUGACUGCGAGCGUGACGGCGCGAGCAGGUGCGAAAGCAGGUCAUAGUGAUCCGGUGGUUCUGAAUGGAAGGGCCAUCGCUCAACGGAUAAAAGGUACUCCGGGGAUAACAGGCUGAUACCGCCCAAGAGUUCAUAUCGACGGCGGUGUUUGGCACCUCGAUGUCGGCUCAUCACAUCCUGGGGCUGAAGUAGGUCCCAAGGGUAUGGCUGUUCGCCAUUUAAAGUGGUACGCGAGCUGGGUUUAGAACGUCGUGAGACAGUUCGGUCCCUAUCUGCCGUGGGCGCUGGAGAACUGAGGGGGGCUGCUCCUAGUACGAGAGGACCGGAGUGGACGCAUCACUGGUGUUCGGGUUGUCAUGCCAAUGGCACUGCCCGGUAGCUAAAUGCGGAAGAGAUAAGUGCUGAAAGCAUCUAAGCACGAAACUUGCCCCGAGA